AGAGUUACAUCAGCCACAUCCGUCAAUGCGAAUGGAAACAGGGUUAGAUCAGCCAAAUGGUUCAAUACAAACGGAAACAGGGUUAGAUCAGCCAAAUGGAUCAACACAAACGGAAACAGGUAACACUACACAAACCAUGAAUUCUAUCUAAUCCGGUACUUGGGCUUUAUCAAACAUAAUGAAAUUCAUUGAAUGCAUGAUUUGCAUUCUCUUGGCAUAUGUGCACAUUUUUUCUGCUUUUGAUUUCGUCCAUGCAGACCCCUUAUGUAUCUUUUUCAAAUUGGAAGAAUUGUUUUCCUUUAAGAUUUUAAUAAUCUGCACUUACAUAGUGUUUUUUAUUUUUUAUUAUAUUAUUAUUAUUAUUAUUUUUUUGCAUGCAUUAUUUCUAAAUUGCCUGGUUUUAUUCAUAUAAUUAGGACCUGAUGUCCAUUUCAAGGUUAGACCAGCGAAUGCCACUGUUACCGGAAACAUAUAAUAUGCCACAAACCAUGCCAUCCAAUCAAUUUGGGCAUUAUAAAACAUAAUUCGUAGACGCAUAAUUUGUAGUCUCUGUAUGCAUAUGCAUCCCUUUUAUUUUUCUCCUUUCGUUCUUGUGUAUGCAUGCCAACC